AGGGUACUACAACCGCUCGGACAAGGUUUCAAAUAUGAAACUUCAUAUGCCUUUGAUGGCGAGUCUUAGUUAAAUU
rfam:Turicibacter sanguinis PC909 contig00098, whole genome shotgun sequence.